rnacentral:rRNA from 1 species
GACGAACGCUGGCGGCGUGCUUAACACAUGCAAGUCGAACGGAAAGGCCCUGCUUUUGUGGGGUGCUCGAGUGGCGAACGGGUGAGUAACACGUGAGUAACCUGCCCUUGACUUUGGGAUAACUUCAGGAAACUGGGGCUAAUACCGGAUAGGAGCUCCUGCUGCAUGGUGGGGGUUGGAAAGUUUCGGCGGUUGGGGAUGGACUCGCGGCUUAUCAGCUUGUUGGUGGGGUAGUGGCUUACCAAGGCUUUGACGGGUAGCCGGCCUGAGAGGGUGACCGGCCACAUUGGGACUGAGAUACGGCCCAGACUCCUACGGGAGGCAGCAGUGGGGAAUAUUGCACAAUGGGCGGAAGCCUGAUGCAGCAACGCCGCGUGCGGGAGGACGGCCUUCGGGUUGUAAACCGCUUUCGCCUGUGACGAAGCGUGAGUGACGGUAAUGGGUAAAGAAGCACCGGCUAACUACGUG